CCUACGGGUGGCAGCAGUGGGGGAUAUUGCACAAUGGGGGAAACCCUGAUGCAGCGACGCCGCGUGUGGGAAGACGGUCCUCUGGAUUGUAAACCACUUUCCCCAGGGACGAAGAUUACGGUACCUUGGGUGGAAGCUCCGGCCAAAUACGUUCCAGCAGCCGCGGUAAUACGUAGGGAGCGAGCGUUUUCCGGAAUUACUGGGUGUAAAGGGGGCGCAGGCGGCGAUGCAAGCCCGGAGUGAAAGCCCGGGGCCCAACCCCGGGACUGCUCUUGGAACUGCGGGGCUGGAGUGCAGGAGGGGCAGGCGGAAUUCCUGGUGUAGCGGUGAAAUGCGUAGAUAUCAGGAGGAACACCGGUGGCGAAGGCGGCCUGCUGGACUGCAACUGACGUUGAGGCCCGAAAGCGUGGGGAGCAAACAGGAUUAGAUACCCGUGUAGUC
rnacentral:rRNA from 1 species